rnacentral:lncRNA from 1 species
CAGGUUGGUCUGAACUCAGUUUCUUGUAUUUGGAGGACCAAGGUCACUGUCUUCUUGCUGGAAGUUAGCCGUGUGUCGUUUCCAACUUUCAGGGAAAUCCUCAGCUAAGUCUCUCCAUCUUCAGUCAGUGAUUUCAAGUCAUUCACAUUGUUAUGUUAAAUGAUUCUCAUAUACAACUUCUUGUCCUGAUCCCAGCCACAAACAUCAGAGAGAGUUGUGUGAUAAAAUUAGGCCACCUACAUAACUUCUCUUUGCUACAUAACACAAAACAUGUCAUAUUUUAAAAUUCUCUGACAACAUAUUAGAACAUAAUGUCAGGAAUAUAACAGAGAGUGAAGAGUUUGGGGCCAUCUUCAAAUUCUCCUUGCUGUAGUCUCCACUGACUCACACACACAGUGAACUAUCAGGUCUGGCAACGCCUCACUCUCUUUCCUUUGCAUUAUUACUGACAAAAAUGGAUGAAAUGGGAACUAAUGACAGUCUUCCACCCAGGCUAAAUUCCUUCCAAUGCUAAAUUUUCAUGAAAACCUUAAAUAUACAGAUGGGGGAAAGCAUAUUACUAUUUCAACCAUAUCAACAUUUUAAAACUAUAUGCAUCAAUGUAGAUAUUCCUGUUAAUUCUAUCAUAUGUCCUCUGGUACCAGUUUGGAACCUGCUUGCCAGACAUUACACACAUGGCUCUUGUUAAAGCAGGACCUCCACAUACUUAACCUUAGGAAAUCGUUCUGAUCUCUUCUUUGCCCUCAAUUAACAUAUAUUCAAUGAACUAAUUAUGUCACUAUUUUAAUAAUAUGGGGUAACUAGAUGUGUCUUCUGCCUCUUUCAUAGGAAUGAAGUAAGAAUCUGAAAAAGAUUCUGUCUACUUAGAUGAGUUACUGCUCCUAAUUUGAGUACACAGAAGAAAGGAGGUUUUAAUAGAUCAUAACCCAGGAUACACGACACUUUGUUGGUGAGCCCUUCCAUGGCCUUUGCGUGGGUGUGUUGCUAGUCAUCAUUUUCUAUUCACCUAAGCAUACCUGCCCCAAGGCUGUUUGCUAUUCUUUUUCUCAUGACCAUCAACUGCUAGUGCCCGACACUGAGCAUCUAGAAAGGGUUUGAGAAAGGAAUUAGAACGAGGAGAGGGAAGGGAAAGAAAUAGGCGGGGGAUGUCAAUAUUAAAAUUUGAGACUGUGGUAAAGAAAAUAUUAUUAAAACGUCUUGGGGUAUUUUGAUAGGGUUGAAAAUAUCUAGGUCAAAUAAGGUUCCCAGACGUGUGUUUCCAUGUUGACAGCGAUGCAGCCAAAUGGGACUGACUCUUCCCGGCCUCCUCCUUAUUCCUCAGGUGCCACAUACGCAUCUGACUCGAGUCAAAACAGAAAGCUGGAUUCCUCCUCUAAAAAUGUGCUGGCAGGCGAUCUGGGUGACCUUUAAGAAUCAGUCAUUCCAAAUGGGCAUUCAAGCCCAGGGAGUGACCCUGGGCUGCUUCUCUUCCACAGAUGCUGGCAAGGGGGCAGAUGGCCUGUUACAAGAAGCACAAGGGUGUGUGUGUGUGUGUGUGUGUGUGUGUGUGUGUGUGUGUGUGUGUGUGUGUGUGUGUUUUCAAACUGCCUGCCCAAACCUUCCAGUAUUUUCCAUGGACUUACUGCAGAAAAUAACGCCAGCCUCCAGCUGAACAGGAUGUGAAAACUCUCCCUCUCAGACUGGAGACAGCCUCCCUCCCAGGCUGAAGCUCAGGCUGUUGGCCUCUUUUACUCGGCCCUGUGUGAUUUGCGUAAAUUGUGUUAGCAGCCAGAUAUCAAGAGCAAACACUGGCCUGUCUUCUUCCUGUGUCAGUGACUUACUCCUUUAUCCCGGGGAAGCUGGCACUGCACCACAGUGGGAGCUGGUCUCUUCCCCUUGCUAAUUGGCUCACUGUGGGUAAACACAGCUGAGCAUCUUCUGUCCUUACUCAGCCUUUUUUUUUUUUUUUUCUUUAACCAUUCCAAGAUUAGGGUCCAACUGCCCGUGCUUAGUGGUUCAUUGGAGACCACGGAGAAUAGGGUGGGAGCUGCAAAUAUGGAACCUCUGUGGACUUUUAGAGCUAGACAGAAAUUAUGAUUCUAGAAUAUUAUACAACUUCAGUAUUUCUGAAAACUCCUACAGGUGAAAUGUCAAGGUUUUUCUUUGGAAUAUUCAUGGAAAUAGCUCUUAUUUGAGUGAAAACACGAACAUGUACACACCCACACACUUGCACACAAGCAUGCACACUCACACUCUUUCCUACAGAAAUGUGGAUGGCUUAUUUGGAAAUGAAGAAGGAGGUCAGGAGGGGCUGUUGCUUUCUUUAUGAUACAGGUGUGUGUGUGUGUGUGUGUGUGUGUGAUUAAGGAUAUUGUGUUUUUGCCAUUUCACACUUGUAUACAACACACUAGGAUUCCAGUCACUUCCCACUACCAUCUAUCUUCCCUCUCCCACUCUAGUCCACUCCUUUCUCUUUCUUGCACUCCCUACUUUAAUGUCUCCAUGUUUGUGAUAAUUCUGGUGGAGAUAGGGUGAUGCCAAUCACUGGAAAGUGUAGUGUAUACAAUGAAGUAUGGGACAUAAUACUGUCUCAGAGCAAUAAACAUGUGCCAGCAUACACAUUUACCAUCUUUUAUAGUUAUUUUCAUCAUAAAACAGUCAGAAGACAGCAGUGUUAUCCAUUUUGUUUAUUACAUCUGAGUUGCAUUAAGAGGCCAGAUCCAGUGAUGAAUCUAAGUUUGUCUAAAUCCACACUUUGACAUUCACACUAGGAUAAAAUAGUCUAGUGACUCAUUUUCCUGAGGCUAUUAUCAUUGUUAAGUGACAAACAGGAAAUGUAAGUAACACACAGAAAUAUUGAAUCUUCUUAAACAUUAGAUUCUUGUCUACAAAACAACAGUGACUUUACCCCCCUUGCAGUACUGCUACCUAGUGUAGUGGGGACACCUUGAGAAGUUCCACCAUCUUGCUAUAAUUAUGCUAUGUUUUGUUGUUACAAUCUUUACUAUUAUCUCCAGUCAUCCACCUAGACUUUGACACUAUAUACUUUUUACAUUUGGCAUUUUGAGUGUACCUUUGUAGCUUAGGGAAGAGCCCUAACUCUAAAGCUGUCCUCAUUUGUAUCCAUAAGUGCCACAGGUUGUAUGUCAUUAUCUGCUAUCACACAUAGUUUCUCUUGAAGAUUGUUUUGAGGUGAGUCUAAAUUUGGGGGGGGGGCAGACUUCGAGUUUCUUCCCCUCACUCUGCUGUUUCCUAUCUCCCAACUAUGCAGAGCACAGAAAAGAGUGACAGGGACUGAGAGCAUGGAAAGGAAAUUGGAAAGUGAUGCCAAAAAGCAGAUGAGUGUAGGGGAACAAUAGAUGUGUGAAACCCUUCAUGUCACCACCAAAGAGGCAUGGAAGAUCAUGACAUGAAGAAGCAGCCUUAUGUAUCUGGAUGCCUGUGGUCCCACUGCUCUACUUCCUGUAACUAUUCUGAAGGCAGGAGCACACCUCAGAAGUUCAUACUAUGUAAAUAACUCUAUGUAUGCCAAAUUAAACUUUUAUCAAUCCUCUCUUUAUUUUAGAAUGUUUAUUAAAAACACACAA